ACUUGGAGCUUAGAAACCGUCGACUUAACGAUUCCUUUUCACCUUCUCCGGGCGACAUAACGCUACCUAAUUAUGACCUUCAAUCACGCUCCCAUGACUUCCUCUUCAUUUCUUCUCUAAUUCGUUUUUGAGAAUCUUAAUUCAGUGUUAUAAAUACUUUCUGAGAGUCCCCUGCAAAAUCUUCGAUCGAACUUGUUUGCCCCAGUCUCUCUUAAUCGACGAUUGUGAUAAUGGCAAGUUCUCAUCUUAAAUUCUCUGACUUGAAGCGAGGGCUGUAGACAGUUAGUCUAGGCUCGACUUCUCCGCUUCUGGUAAGCCUGAAAUGUAAAGAAAGCCAGUGAGCUGAUGGGUAUUGAUAUGCUUCUCAUUGCUGGAAGGAUACGCGAGUCCAAGCAUCAAUUAGUGUGCACAUGAUCAACACCUUGAAAUACAUAUUGAAGGAAGGCUCUCUGUAUGAGCUUAGUGUUUUUGUUGUCACAAUAUGCAACCCAGCUUACUUUUUGGAGAAAGCCAUCUUUCUAUUAGAUUUACAGAUAGAACAGUUUUUCUUGAGGUCUCUGAAACGCUAAAACGGAUCCCUAUAAAGAGUUUUAGGUUCCUGCAAUAAGAAACUGAGGAAGAUCCAAACGAGAUGAAGAAUCUGACAGGAAUGGGACUAUCAAAUCAAAAGUUGUAUCCAUACGCUCAAAGGGCACAUCCACAAUGUAUGUACAGGCUAGAGUUUGUUUUUUCUAUUUUGUCUUUUAGUUUGUUAUAUCUAUUUUAUAUAUUUUUCAGGCUAGAGAACACUCUGAAUUAUGUUCUCGAGAGUUUUUGGACCAUUGGUUACAUAAAAUGUUCGGGCCUGUGAGUUUCUGUAUUCCUGCUUCCUCAUUUUUCUUUUUUGGAAAAAGCUUCCUCAUUUUAUGUUUCUAUAGGUCGAACAGUUUGUUAGAUUAUUUUUCAUGAGUAGAGUUUUGUCUUGUUGGUAGGAUCUUUGUUUCUGAUUUGUUCUUAGUUCUCUUCUGAGAUUGACGAUUUGGAAAGCUAAUGGUGGUCAGAAUUGCUAAGAGCUGAUGCCGGAUCAGUAUUAUACAAAACCAUCAACAACAAAUGUGUUUGCAUUUUACAGGGUUGUGCUUGGAUAUGAUGAAGGAAUAACCAUCAUGGUUAAACAUACUACCUAGACCAAAGAAUGAUAAACCGCCAAUGUCAAAUAUCAGCAGACUAUUACAAUCAACCACUAUGAUUACUUCCCCUAUAAUAUACCCCAUUCCUGUUAAUUAACAAUAUAGAAUGUGUUACCUGCACGUUAAAAUUAUGAAUCUACAACCAGCUGAUAACGCAGCUAUAUUAAUGGUUGGCUAAUCUUAAACUCAUAAAUGGCCCAACUUGAUUUGCUAACACAUUAGGUCCCCCAAAAAUAACAAAAACUCUACCGGAUAAUGAAAGCCCAGACGUCUAAGCAGUAAUAUAGUGAAAUUAAUUAGAAUGUUUACAAGUUUUUAAAAGCGAUAAUUUACUAA